rnacentral:rRNA from 1 species
AUUGAACGCUGGCGGCAUGCUUUACACAUGCAAGUCGAACGGCAGCGCGGGCUUCGGCCUGGCGGCGAGUGGCGAACGGGUGAGUAAUGCAUCGGAACGUGCCCAGUAGUGGGGGAUAGCACGGCGAAAGCCGGAUUAAUACCGCAUACGACCUGAGGGUGAAAGCGGGGGACCGAAGGGCCUCGCGCUAUUGGAGCGGCCGAUGUCGGAUUAGCUAGUUGGUGGGGUAAAGGCUUACCAAGGCGACGAUCCGUAGCUGGUCUGAGAGGACGACCAGCCACACUGGGACUGAGACACGGCCCAGACUCCUACGGGAGGCAGCAGUGGGGAAUUUUGGACAAUGGGGGCAACCCUGAUCCAGCCAUGCCGCGUGCGGGAAGAAGGCCUUCGGGUUGUAAACCGCUUUUGUUCGGGAAGAAAUCCUCUGGGCUAAUACCCCGGGGGGAUGACGGUACCGGAAGAAUAAGCACCGGCUAACUACGUG